CUUUUUUGCAGAAUGCGGAACGUGUUUUUGUUAGGAGCAAAAAAAAAACAAUUAUUUAAAAAGAAAAUGCAACGGAUUAAGUACUCUACUCACGAAUUCGUAGAUAGUAGAUUUGGAGGAAAUACGCUAUUUCUGUCAUAUCUGAAGCAAUUUCCCUUCUUCAGAAUUCGGUCACAUUACGGAUGCCAAGCGCGCGGGUAUGUCGGUGGAAAAUCUGCUCAACCAUCACACGUUCAAACAAGAAUAUUUACUUAAAGCUGAGUACUGACAAAUGGAAUAUAAUAACCAGUGGACUGCAGAAGAUAGAGUUACGGUACACAUAUUAUCGCUAUGUCCGAAAACGUACUUUGACGGGAAAAGGCUCUACAGUGUAUGAUCGAAAUGGGACUGAGGAUGGAGUAAAUCCGGAAGAUGCAAAUUAGCUGCUGUUGCAGAGGUUGGAUACGCAGCCGCUCCCUUCCAAUUCGAAGAUGCGACACUGCUGCUGGAAGACUUGCUGCAAUCUUGAUUUAUUUUGGACAAUAUAGGGGAAAUUACGGC